rnacentral:rRNA from 1 species
GACGAACGCUGGCGGCGUGCUUAACACAUGCAAGUCGAACGGAAAGGCCCCUUUGGGGGUACUCGAGUGGCGAACGGGUGAGUAACACGUGCGUAACCUGCCCUUGACUUCGGGAUAACUUCAGGAAACUGGGGCUAAUACCGGAUAGGAAUCCUUUCUGCAUGGUGGGGGUUGGAAAGCUUCGGCGGUUUUUGAUGGACUCGCGGGUUAUCAGCUUGUUGGUGGGGUAGUGGCUUACCAAGGCGGUGACGGGUAGCCGGCCUGAGUGGGCGACCUGCGACAUUGAGUCUGAGAGACGGCCCAGACUCCUAAGGGAGGCAGCAGUGCGGAAUAUUGCACGAGGGGCGGAAGCCUGAUGCAGCAACGCCGCGUGCGGGAUGACGGCCUUAGGGUUGAAAACCGCUUUCAGCAGGAGCGAAGCUUGUGGUGACGGUACCUGCAGAAGAAGCACCGGCUAACUACGUG